rnacentral:rRNA from 1 species
AAGAGACAGCAGUCGCCGCGGGAAUACAGAGGGUGCGAGCGUUAAUCGGAUUUACUGGGCGUAAAGCGUGCGUAGGCGGCUUCUUAAGUCGGAUGUGAAAUCCCUGAGCUUAACUUAGGAAUUGCAUUCGAUACUGGGAAGCUAGAGUAUGGGAGAGGAUGGUAGAAUUCCAGGUGUAGCGGUGAAAUGCGUAGAGAUCUGGAGGAAUACCGAUGGCGAAGGCAGCCAUCUGGCCUAAUACUGACGCUGAGGUACGAAAGCAUGGGGAGCAAACAGGAUUAGAUACCCCUGUAGUCCCUGUCUCUUAUAC